CUUUCUUUGCUGGCGACCGGCGCACGGGUGAGUAACACGUAUCCAACCUGCCCUUUACUCGGGGAUAGCCUUUCGAAAGAAAGAUUAAUACCCGAUAGUAUAAUGAUUCCGCAUGGUUUCAUUAUUAAAGGAUUCCGGUAAAGGAUGGGGAUGCGUUCCAUUAGGUUGUUGGUGAGGUAACGGCUCACCAAGCCUUCGAUGGAUAGGGGUUCUGAGAGGAAGGUCCCCCACAUUGGAACUGAGACACGGUCCAAACUCCUACGGGAGGCAGCAUG
rnacentral:rRNA from 1 species